UAAUACGGAGGUUCCAAGCGUUGUUCGGAAUUACUGGGCGUAAAGGGAGCGCAGGCGGACAGGUCAGUUUAAAGUGGAAUCCCAGGGCUCAACCCUGGACGUGCUUUGGAUACUGCCUGUCUUGAGUUCGUGAGAGGAAAGUGGAAUUCAGGGUGUAGCGGUGAAAUGCUUAGAUAUCCUGAGGAACACCAGUGGCGAAAGCGACUUUCUGGCACGAAACUGACGCUGAGGCUCGAAAGCAUGGGUAGCGAACGGG
rnacentral:rRNA from 1 species